UACAGCCAUAUCACAUUGAAUCACGGGUUCUCAUACAAUCACCAAAGUUAAGCAACAUUGAGCCUGAUCAGUACCUAGAUGGGUGACCACUUG